rnacentral:rRNA from 1 species
AACGCGAAGAACCUUACCAGGGCUUGACAUCCUGCGAAUUUCUCCGAAAGGAGAAAGUGCUUUAUUGAAUGCAGUGACAGGUGAUGCAUGGCCGUCGUCAGCUCGUGUCGUGAGAUGUUUGGUUAAGUCCAUUAACGAGCGCAACCCUUGUAUUUAGUUGAAUUUUUCUAAAUAGACUGCCUCGGUAACGGGGAGGAAGGAGGGGAUGAUGUCAGGUCAGUAUUUCCCUUACGUCCUGGGCUACAAACACGCUACAAUGGCCGGUACAAAGGGCAGCCAAGUCGCAAGACGGAGCAAAUCCCAUCAAAGCCGGUCUCAGUUCGGAUUGCAGGCUGAAACUCGCCUGCAUGAAGCUGGAAUCGCUAGUAACGGUAGGUCAGCAGACUACCGUGAAUACGUUCCCGGGCCUUGUACACACCGAGUAUA